GCUCCCGUAGUUCAACGGAUAGAAUGCAAGAUUGCGGAUCUUGCGAUAGAGGUUCGAUUCCUCUCGGGAGCA
rnacentral:tRNA from 1 species